UUGAUGAAACUACUAAAAUAAUUAUUUAUUUUACCUUUUGCAUAAUGGUUUAAUUAAUUAUUUUAAAAAUUUAAAAUCCCGAAAUAGUAGGAUCUAAUAAAUUAAUAUGGUUUUAUGUUUCAAAAUAAAAUUAAUAUAAUUUAUUAGGGGUGAAAGGCUAGCCAAAUACUAUGAUAUCUGGAUAAAAAGGAAAUGUAUUAAGUACAAGUUUUAUUAACUAGAAACUUUCUGUUAAGGGAAAGUUUAAUUUAGAAAAAGGAAUAGUCUAAUAGUUUCUAGGGAUAACUCUCUGGAAGGGCUAUAAGCGAUUUAUAAUUUUAAACUUUCUGAAAAAUACUUUUUAAGGUUAGGAAAAUCCAUCUCAACCUAAAUAAUGUUAAAAUAAGUAUUGGUUUUAAUUUCUUGAAAAAGAACUCGGCAAAUUCUUACUCAACUGUUUAUCAAAAACAUAGUUCUAUGGUUUUAUGUGGAAUGGAUCCUGCCCUAUGAAAUUUUAAAUGGCCGCAGUACUUUAACUGUGCUAAGGUAGCAUAAUAAUUUGUCUUUUAAUUGGAGUCUGGAAUGAAAGGAAGAAUGGGUAAUAACUGUUUCUUAAAGAUUUUUAAGAAUUUUCUCAAAAGGUGAAAAUUCCUUUAGUGUUCAAAUAGACGAGAAGACCCUAGGAGUUACUGUUUUGUUGGGGCGACAUUUUAGAUUUAACCUAAAAUAUUAAUAUAACAUUUAUUUAAAUAAAAAUUUAACUACCCUAGGGAUAACAGCAUAAUUCCGUUAAGGUGAUUGUGACCUCGAUGUUGGACUAAG
rnacentral:rRNA from 1 species